rnacentral:snRNA from 1 species
GUGCUUGCUUUGGCAGCACAUAUACUAAAAUUGGAAUAAUAUAAUAAUAUAGAGAAGAUUAGCAUGGCCCCUGCACAAAGAUGACAUGCAAAUUCAUGAAGCGUUCUGUAUUUUC